GGUGGUGAAUAUGGUAGAGGAAAAGGGAUCGAGGAAGUGGCGUAGGGUGGGGAUAAGUGGCAGAGAAAAUGUAAGAGAAACAAAGAGAUGGACAGUGACGGUGGAGAGAGAAAAUGGAAAUUGUUGAGAGAGAAAAAGGAUUAUGAUUUUGGGGAAGAGAGAAGAGAGAUUGUAAUUUAGAGAAAGAGAGGAGAGGGAUUUUGAUUUAGAAUGGGAGAAUGAAAUGAAGGUGGGAGAG
rnacentral:lncRNA from 1 species